AGCAGUUUGGUAACGUUUGUGCUGGUCAGACGAACCCAGGCGAAGCACAGACAAAAAACACAAAUGUAAUAAUUUAAUAAACUCCUAAUUUUUUCACGACAGUAAAAUGGAAGACAAUUAAGAAUAAUUCACUUUCUGUUGACGGUUUGGAUAUCAAGACCAACAUUGUGGAGGACAGAAGUUUUAGCAUGGCCGGAUCCAAUAUUCCUGAUGACUGAGAGUGACUGGUGACGUGUAACAGGAAAGCCGUGCCUCGUUUCAGGUGCUAAAACAGAAAAAACUUUUUUUUUCUUUUUGGAUGCUUGCUGUGUUUCGACUCCAGGAGCGAAGGUCUGAAACCGUUUGUACAGUAAAGUUGCAUUCAUACGCCAUCUGCUGGUAAAUAUGAAAAUUGUUUUUGAAAAUCUUAUAAUGUUUCCUAGGCCUAGAACUUCAAGAGCACAAUUUAAAAUGCUACCCUCAAAUUUGAUUUUUAAAAUAAUACAUUUUGGAUUUGGUUUUGAGCGUUGAUGUAAUCGGAAUGCCAUUAACAACACACUUAUGUGAGGAGCAAAAUUUAAUGGAGAUUCAACCUUUUCAGACAUUUUUGCAAUU